AUUAUGGGCCUGACCCAAAGCCCUUUAAAGUCAGUGAAAAGACUCCCAUUGACUUUAAUGGGCUUUGGAUCAGGCCUUAAAAGAU
rnacentral:pre_miRNA from 1 species